AGGAAUAUAGUUAAUUAUAACAUUUGAAUUGCACUCAAAAAGUAUUGAAAAUCAAUUAUUCUUA
rnacentral:tRNA from 1 species